rnacentral:rRNA from 1 species
ACACGACUACAUUAGAUACCCGCGUAGUCCCAGCUGUAAACGAUGCAGACUAGGUGUUUGGACGGCCACGUGCCGUUCUAGUGCCGCAGGGAAGCUGUUAAGUCUGCCGCCUGGGGAGUACGAUCGCAAGAUUGAAACUUAAAGGAAUUGGCGGGGGAGCACCACAAGGGGUGAAGCUUGCGGUUUAAUUGGAGUCAACGCCGGAAAUCUCACCGGGAGCGACAGCAGUAUGAAAGCCAGAUUGAAGGUCUUGCUAGACGAGCUG